rnacentral:rRNA from 1 species
AACAAGGAUCCCCUAGUAACUGCGAGUGAAGCGGGAAAAGCUCAAAUUUAAAAUCUGGCGGUCUUAUGGCCGUCCGAGUUGUAGUCUGGAGAAGUGCUUUCCGCGCUGGACCGUGUACAAGUCUCUUGGAACAGAGCGUCAUAGAGGGUGAGAAUCCCGUCUUUGACACGGACUACCAGUGCUUUGUGAUGUGCUCUCAAAGAGUCGAGUUGUUUGGGAAUGCAGCUCAAAAUGGGUGGUAAAUUCCAUCUAAAGCUAAAUAUUGGCGAGAGACCGAUAGCGAACAAGUACCGUGAGGGAAAGAUGAAAAGCACUUUGGAAAGAGAGUUAAACAGUACGUGAAAUUGCUGAAAGGGAAACGCUUGAAGUCAGUCGCGUUGGCCAGGACUCAGCCUUGCUUUUGCUUGGUGCAUUUUCUGGUUGACGGGCCAGCAUCGAUUUUGACCAUUGGAAAAAGAUUAGGGGAAUGUGGCACCUUCGGGUGUGUUAUAGCCCUUAGUCACAUACAGUGGUUGGGAUCGAGGACCGCAGCACGCCUUUAUUGGCCGGGGUUCGCCCACGUUCGUGCUUAGGAUGCUGGCGUAAUGGCUUUAAACGACCCGUCUUGAAACACGGACCAAGGAGUCUAACAUGCCUGCGAGUGUUUGGGUGGAAAACCCGAGCGCGUAAUGAAAGUGAAAGUUGAGAUCCUUGUCAUGGGGAGCAUCGACGCCCGGACCUGAACUUCGGUGAUGGAUCUGCGGUAGAGCAUGUAUGUUGGGACCCGAAAGAUGGUGAACUAUGCCUGAAUAGGGUGAAGCCAGAGGAAACUCUGGUGGAGGCUCGUAGCGAUUCUGACGUGCAAAUCGAUCGUCAAAUUUGGGGUAUAGGGGCGAAAGACUAAUCGAACCAUCUAGUAGCUGGGUUCCUGCCGAAGUUUCCCCUUC